rnacentral:rRNA from 1 species
UUGGAGGGCAAGUCUGGUGCCAGCAGCCGCGGUAAUUCCAGCUCCAAUAGCGUAUAUUAAAGUUGUUGCAGUUAAAAAGCUCGUAGUUGAAUUUCGGGGUUCAUCCGUUGGUCGGGCUUUUUGGUCUGUACUGGCGUGAUGGAUUCCUACCUUCUGAAUAACCAGCAUGUCAUUAAUUUGGUGCGCUGGGGAAGCAGGACUGUUACCUUGAAAAAAUUAGAGUGCUUAAAGCAGGCUAUCGCCUGAAUACAUUAGCAUGGAAUAAUGAAAUAGGACGGCAUGGUUCUAUUUUGUUGGUUUCUAGGAUCACCGUAAUGAUUAAUAGGGAUAGUUGGGGGCAUUAGUAUUCAAUUGUCAGAGGUGAAAUUCUUGGAUUUAUUGAAGACUAACUUCUGCGAAAGCAUUUGCCAAGGAUGUUUUCAUUAAUCAAGAACGAAAGUUAGGGGAUCGAAGACGAUCAGAUACCGUCGUAGUCUUAACCAUAAACUAUGCCGACUAGGGAUCGGACGAUGUUAAUUUUUUAAUGACUCGUUCGGCGCCUUACGGGAAAC